GUGAAGGUUCUAUUGAAGUGACAAUAUUCUGACCCCUGUCACUCUACUCAGUAAUGAGAAACCUUGAUCCUGGUCCCUGUGUUACUGGACAACAAUUAUUAACAGCUAAUAUGAAGUGUGGAUGGUAGGGAAGUUGUUAGUAUAAACGUUCUUCCACAAGAGAAAUGAUGACACAUUACUGGGAAAUAAUACCUCCAUGUCUGUUGUAUGAGACUAUUCCUUGACAGGCAUUAACAAACCUCUUUUAUCCAAAGCAGAGAGCCAACAAGAGAUCAAAGUAGGGCUACCACCACAAUUCAACUUGAACCAAUGUGUUUUAUUGAGGUUACUUAUAGCAGUAGAAAUGGCUCAAAGAAAGACAACUGCAUCACCAAAAGCCCAUUUCAUCAAGGGCAAGAGUUCAUAAAAUCUGGAAACCUAGAGCCCACUGAACAACUUGCAAGCAGCUUUACAAGUUAAAGAGUGUCUUCUAUAGGCAGCUCCUAUUGGCCUGAGCCUCUUCCAGGCACCUACCUCAGCUUGUCUGAGAGUGUCUCUUAGCAGUCCUUACUACUACUUUUAAAAGCUUAGAAGAGGGAGGGGCAUAGUGCAUCUGGUCAGUUUCAGGGACUUCCUGAAACUUAUGAGUUUUUUUAGUUCUGACUCUUAACAGCUCCCUGCAGAAUGUAGUGUUUCAUUUCAGAAGAAAUUGCUGCAUAACAACGUCCUGGAACUUGACAUACAACAGACCCAGAGUAGUGGGUAUGUGAGCCAAGCAGAUAUGUUUGGAGAUGAGAAAUGCAUUUGCAGGCUGCUUAGAAUGGAGCAGUAACAAGAGCGCCUGGUCUUGUGGCUGCGGCUAUUCUGGUGACUCUGAAUUGUGAUUUGCUAAAAGCCAGGUAAGUGUCCUACUUUGUCCUAAAGGCUUGAGUUUUCCUGGGAUAGUUAUGUUAAAAAUAAACAACUGGUGUUCUCGUGUCCCUUGAUCCCAUUCCGAAAUUCAUCGUCACAGUGAAAUUUUCUACUUGAGGUAGUGUGAGGUUGCACUCAGAUAAAAAGCAGAACAGGACUGUGUAUUCAUAUAAACACAGUGCUUGGGUAGAGUCAGGUUUAUUCUGUCAACCUGGCUGAACUUCAUGUUUAGUGAGAGAUCCUAUCUCAAGGGAAUAAGGUAGAGAAGAAAGAAGGAAGAUACCCAAGAUUCUGCUCAGGCCCCUGCAUGCUUGCACAGGGCCAUGCUCACUCACAGGUCUGUACCACACACAUGCAACAUACAACAAACACUAUAAACAUGCAGCAUUAGAUGAAUGAACUGAUUUUAUCAAACUGUUUUAUGUAUUUAUAUUCCAAAUGUUGCCUGCCUCUCUUCCCAGCCCGCCUCCCCUUUGCCUCUGAGAGGAUGCUCCCCCUGAAGAAUAUUCUUUUACUCAUAUUUAAAACUAUAAACUAAAGCAUCAUUUGUAAAUUUAUUGUAAUAAACCAUUAGUUUUUCACACACUCAUACUAAUAGCCUGAAAAUACACAGAUAUUUUUGAAAUAUUUAUGCCUAAACUAUUCCAUUUAUAUGUUUGUCAUUGUGGAUGCACAAACACAUCCU
rnacentral:lncRNA from 1 species